GGGGUGGCAGGAGGGCGCACCUUGACGCUUUGAGGUUCUGCCCGCAGGCCGAGCUGCCUGCGGAGCCCCGGGGAGGGCAGACCUGCGCCUGCUAGGUGCCCCCAGCCUCAGGGCCCCAGCACUCGGGCCCGAGGCCCAUCCUCUUCGCCUGGUACCCCUCUGGUCUGGAGAGGGCGCCAGGGCCGGGCUUCAGACUGUGAGUCUCCAAGAGAAAACGUGCAACUGAAACAAACGCAGGAAGGUCACUAGAAAA